rnacentral:rRNA from 1 species
CAGUCGCCGCGGGAACACGAAGGGUGCAAGCGUUACUCGGAAUUACUGGGCGUAAAGCGUGCGUAGGUGGUCGUUUAAGUCUGUUGUGAAAGCCCUGGGCUCAACCUGGGAACUGCAGUGGAAACUGGACGACUAGAGUGUGGUAGAGGGUAGCGGAAUUCCUGGUGUAGCAGUGAAAUGCGUAGAGAUCAGGAGGAACAUCCAUGGCGAAGGCAGCUACCUGACCAACACUGACACUGAGGCACGAAAGCGUGGGGAGCAAACAGGAUUAGAUACCCGCGUAGUCCCUGUCUCUUAUACA